UAUGUAUUGUCUACGACAGGGGUGUCCAAACUACGGCCCGUGGGCCGUUCAGUUUUUAUUGGCCCGCAGCAAAUUCUGAAAAUAUAAUUAAAUAUGGCCCGUACAAGAAGCUUGAGGUCAACUUUGUUGCACUUCUCAGUUUCAACACUAGAUGGAGCCAGC